rnacentral:lncRNA from 1 species
ACCUCACGGCCAAAUUUCGGAAGGUAAUCGUUUUAUUUGAAGGGCAAGGAUACAUUUCAAGGCUCAUUAAAAACUUAAAACCUCUUUGAAAACAAUCUCCUUAGGAAUCUUGGGGCCAGAAGAGUUAGAAGCUUCUUUUCUGGACUGCUUAACAGCUCUGUUAUUAAGUCUGAUUACUUAAGCCCAUGAAUGGAAGGAUGUAAUAAAUCUUUUAGUAUUUGUUCUAGUUUAUGACUGAAGAAACUGUAUAAUAUUAAAUCAGAUGUUGUUAUAAACAUUUUAAAUGGCACUUUUUUUUUUUUUUACAACUCGGGGCAUCCUGGCAUGAAGUUUCUGGGGAUCUAAGAAGAGCAUGCUUUUACACUCUUGGAUUCCAAUACGUCUUGGGGAAAAAAUUCCAAAAACAAGUCUUCCAUAGACAUGCCUGAAUUUGACAGUGUUUUGCUGGAUGACCAGCGGGGGUUAUAGAGCACAAUACCAGCCAAGGACCUGGAAUAUGGAUAUCUUGAACAAGACCCACAAGGCAUAUCCGCUCAUUUAGUCCGAGUUGGAGCCCAUCAAAAACAGGAGAUGAUCUGAACUUCGGCGAGUCCCGCGCUUCCUGCAGGACCGUUCCUGCUUCUCUGCCGGGGACCGGGUGAGGAAGAAGAGGAGAUGGGGGAGGAGGAAGGGAUGGGGGGAGGUUGGGGAGAGGGGGCUGGGGGUGAGUAGUACCGGAGA